rnacentral:rRNA from 1 species
UUCCAGACUCCUACGGGAGGCAGCAGUGGGGGAUAUUGCACAAUGGGGGGAACCCUGAUGCAGCGACGCCGCGUGGGUGAAGGAGCGUUUCGGCGCGUAAAGCCCUAUCGGCAGGGAAGAAGGAGGACGGUACCUGACUAAGAAGCCCCGGCUAACUACGUGCCAGCAGCCGCGGUAAUACGUAGGGGGCAAGCGUUAUCCGGAUUUACUGGGUGUAAAGGGAGCGUAGGCGGCGCGUUAAGUCUGAUGUGAAAACCCGAGGCUCAACCACGGGAGUGCAUUGGAAACUGGCGGGCUGGAGUGCCGGAGAGGUAAGCGGAAUUCCUAGUGUAGCGGUGAAAUGCGUAGAUAUUAGGAGGAACACCAGUGGCGAAGGCGGCUUACUGGACGGCAACUGACGCUGAGGCUCGAAAGCGUGGGGAGCAAACAGGAUUAGAUACCCGAGUA